GGGAAAGCCAGUGGAGCGCGGCGCGACAGACAGCGAUGGUGAGGCGCGUGUGUUGGAAUUAAACACGAAAGAACGUGGCCAUGUCGGAUUCAGUGCAUGCAUGUACGUGUCCGACUAGGUUUCUAGUUCAAUCACGAGUAAAAUUAAGAUUAGUUGGCAGCCUAGCUAGCUAAUAUAUAUACUCAUGUAUACCCCUGUACUGAGAAUCAGAUCGUGAGUAAUCGAAAGCAAUAAAGAAAAGGCCAGGAGCGACAAGCCCCUGUUG
rnacentral:lncRNA from 1 species